UACGGAGGGGGCUAGCGUUGUUCGGAAUUACUGGGCGUAAAGCGCACGUAGGCGGCUUUGUAAGUUAGAGGUGAAAACCCAGGGCUUAACCCUGGAAUUGCCUUUAAGACUGCAUCGCUUGAAUCGUGGAGAGGUGAGUGGAAUUCCGAGUGUAGAGGUGAAAUUCGUAGAUAUUCGGAAGAACACCAGUGGCGAAGGCGACUCACUGGACACGUAUUGACGCUGAGGUGGCGAAAGCGUGGGGAGCAAACAGG
rnacentral:rRNA from 1 species